ACAUCUUCUCCUCUUCACCUUCGUUACGAGACUGUAACGCUCGAAGAAAGAGAAAAGAAAGAAAAAAAAGGGGGGGAAAAAGAAAUUCCAUGGCUCUGAAUUUGGGCUUGCCUUGGGUUUCCCGCCACUCUCUUCCCUCCUCACAUCUCUUCAAAACCUCCCCAAACAACAGUAGCAGCAGCGCUCUUUUGCUUCUCCUCCUCAGCAGAUGCAGCUCCGAAAUCUCCUCUUUCAAGAACAUUUCCUUUUCUCUUUCCUCUCCUUCUCUUCCCCACCUGAAGAAUUUCCACGCCAGAGCCUCUUUGGAUGGUGGAGAAGGCGCGGGCGAGGAGAUUUUGGAUUCCGGAUUGCUGGAUGACGAUAUGGUGAGGCGGGCGGCGGCAGCAAAGGAUGCCAACGAGGCGUUGGAGAUGAUCGCGGAGAAAAUCGGAAGGAAUGGAGGAGUUGUGGGGACUUCUGAUUGUUGCUCGAUUAUCGCGACCGCGCUUGAUCGGGGCAAUGCUGAGCUGGCACUGUCAGUUUUUGACGCCAUGCGAUCAAGCUUCGAUCAAGGUAUGAUUGAAAAAGGGUCAUCUGUUGAGAGAUGGAGGUGGGCUAGGCCGGAUGCACGCACUUAUGCAUUGCUGGUUCGGGGGCUUGCAGCAGCACUGCGGGUUUCGGAUGCUAUGGGGAUGAUUGCUAAUGUUUCCCGAAUGGGAGUAUCUCCUGGGGAGGAGGUACCCUUUGGGAAGAUUGUGAGAUGCCCAAGUUGUAUGAUAGCCAUUGCUGUUGCACAACCUCAGCAUGGCAUUCAAGUCUCAUCUUGUUCCAAGUGCCGCUACCAGUAUGAGCUUGUUUCUGGAGAUAUAAUUAGUAUUGCUUCAGAAGAAAUCAGCAUGGAUAUUUCAGCAUGGGAAAAGGGGCUGAGGUUCCUUCAGAUAAUGAAGCCAAGCAUUCCUGCUGCUGUUCACUCCAUUGUGGUCCGCACGCCUGCGGGGAUUGCUCGUACGCACAGGUUUGCUACCAAAACAGUCGAACUUCCUGCUCAAGAAGGAGAGAGAGUAACGAUUGCCUUAGCAGCUCCAUCAAGUGUUUAUCAGGAGAUGGGUCCUUUUAGAUUUAGUCCAAAAGCUCCUGGGUUUAGCCCUGGAGAACCCAUGUGUCUGACAAAUCACUCAAGCGGCCAGGAGUCACAGUUACUAAGGGCACCCAUGAAGAGUGGAAACUCAUUUUUACUCAACCCUUCUAUUCUUUUUCCUGUCUUUGCUUUGCUGGCUACUGGAGAUGCUGCCUCUGGAAUCAUUGAUCUCAGCCUUCCCAGAUUCAUUUCAAUUGCUGCAAUUGCAUCAUUGGCAUUAGGGACUACUAUAAACAGUGUGGUUCUGCCACAAUUGAGUCAGCUGCCCCAGCGGAUGGUGGAUGUAGUUGCUCUCAAGCAGCAACUUCUAUCUCAGUAUGAUUUGCUGCAGACCCGCAUCAAGGACCUAAGUCAAGCUGCUGAAAAAGAGGUUUGGAUGUUGGCCCGCAUGUGCCAGUUGGAGAACAAGAUUGUAGCUGUGGGAGAACCUUCUUACCAUGCCCGAAGAAGUAGAGUCAAAAGAGUACGUGAAAGCUUGGAAAACUCCCUUUUGGCGAGGAUCAAACUGAUUGACAGCUAUGCAAAAAUCUCUUCAAUGAUUGAAAUUGAGGUUGAAAUGGACUCUGACGUUCUUGCUGCUGAAGCAGUGAGCAAUGCGGAAAGUAUUGCAGAACAAAUAGAGCAAAUCAUGGAGCUCGAAAACCUUGAACAGCAAUGGCGAAUACAAGCUGAGGCGAAUGAUGAGGUGGAAAGGCUCCUCAGUUCUCAGCCAAUGUCAACGGAACCUGUAUAAAUAUCUUGCAUGGGAUAACAAAGCCAACGCCAGCUCUAGAUCUCUUUGUAGCAAUGAGGACAGUUUUCUAAGUGAUUCAAGUUCUAACCAUAAUUCUUCAACUUGUCGAGUGGACUCAACUUGGGUGAAUUUGGAGCUGAAUCAUCUCACGGACUUGGUUUGACCAGAUCCUUCCAUGACUUGAUAUAUAUAAAGGUUUUAAGAUUGAUAAAAGGACAACAUAUUUUCUGCAUCGGCCCCUCUGCUUCCUUUGUGGUCGAUGAAACAGAUAAUACGAUCAUCAAAUUCAUUCAUACAUUGGAGAGGGGGAAAAAAGAAUCCCAUUUUUCAUGAUAGUGCCUUGCGAGCCAAGGGACAUUAAAUAGACGUGAUAAAGGAGGGUGGGCAUCCUAUCGAUGUAGAGCGAGACCUUUGUGGGGUGGCAUGACAUGAUCUUGGGGUUGACUAGAGGAGGCGUUAAGCGGGUCCCACCAGGUGAGCCUAUCUAUCAGCAACCAAAAGUUGUGCAAUGGUGACACUAUUGCUGCCUAGGAAAACCAUGUAUGAAUGAAGCUGUUGCUUCUCGUUUAUUGCAUUUAUUUAUAAGGUACGUUGUUAUUUCCAAGAAAGUGUUGAUAAUACAAUUGAAUGUUUGAGACUUUGUAAAAGAUUUGAAUUGAGUUUCCUUUGAAUUUAA